UACGUAGGCAGCGAGCGUUGUUCGGAAUUACUGGGCGUAAAGAGUGUGUAGGCGGCGCUCUAAGUUCGGUGUGAAAUCUCUCGGCUUAACUGGGAGGGUGCGCUGGAAACUGGAGUGCUCGAACGUGGGAGAGGAAAGCGGAAUUCCUGGUGUAGCGGUGAAAUGCGUAGAUAUCAGGAGGAACACCUGCGGUGUAGACGGCUUUCUGGACCAUUGUUGACGCUGAGACACGAAAGCGUGGGUAGCAAACAGG
rnacentral:rRNA from 1 species